rnacentral:tRNA from 1 species
GAGCAGUUAAUUUAACUGGAGAAAAUAACAAGCCUGCUCGAACUUGUUGAAUGUGGGUUCAAGUCCCACACUGCUCUCCA